rnacentral:rRNA from 1 species
UUUAAAGCGAAUAAGAGCACAUGGUGAAUGCCUAGGGUCUGAGAGGCGACGAAGGACGUGGUAAGCUGCGAUAAGCUACGGGGAGCUGCACACGAGCGCAAUAUCCGUAGAUUUCCGAAUGGGACAACCUGGUAUACUGAAGGUAUAUCACUCUAGUGAUAGAGAGCCAACCCGGGGAACUGAAACAUCUAAGUACCCGGAGGAAAAGAAAAUAAUAAUGAUUCCCUGAGUAGUGGCGAGCGAACGGGGAAGAGCCCAAACCACGGGAGCGUGCUCCUGUGGGGUUGUAGGACUACUUUUAGAAAUUGUCGAUAAUUUGAAUCAGUUGGAAAUCUGGGCCAUAGCAGGUGAAAGCCCUGUAGAAGUACCUUGACAAGGACGUGUAGUAUCCUGAGUAGCGCGGGACCGGAGGAAUCUUGCGUGAAACUGCCAGCACCAUCUGGUAAGGCUAAAUACUCCUCAGACACCGAUAGUGAACCAGUACCGUAAGGGAAAGGUGAAAAGUACCCUGAAUAAGGGAGUGAAAUAGUACCUGAAACCGUGUGCUUACAAGCGGUCGGAGCUUCACAGCGAUGUGUGAGUGACGGCGUGCCUUUUGCAUAAUGAGCCUACGAGUUACUCCUCACUGGCGAGGUUAAGUUUCUGAGAAACGGAGCCGUAGCGAAAGCGAGUCCGAAUAGGGCGACUUAGUCAGUGGGGGUAGACGCGAAACUUUGUGAUCUAUCCAUGAGCAGGUUGAAGGUUUGGUAACACACACUGGAGGACCGAACCCGUUGACGUUGAAAAGUCUUGGGAUGACUUGUGGAUAGGGGUGAAAGGCCAAUCAAACUGAGAGAUAGCUCGUUCUCCCCGAAAUGUUUUUAGGAACAGCGUCGUAUUAUAGGUAUCAUAGAGGUAGAGCUACUGAUUGGGCUAGGGGGCUUCAUCGCCUACCAAACCCUGACAAACUCCGAAUGCUAUGAUAUUUUUGCGGCAGUGAGGCUGUGGGCGCUAAGGUCCAUGGCCGAGAGGGAAAUAACCCAGAUUAGCAACUAAGGUCCCUAAUACGUAGUUAAGUUGAACAAACGAGGUGGGGCUUCUAUAACAGCCAGGAUGUUUGCUUGGAAGCAGCAAUUCAUUUAAAGAGUGCGUAACAGCUCACUGGUCGAGAGGCCCUGCACGGAAAAUGAUCGGGCAUCAAACUACGAACCGAAGUUCUAAAUUCCAGCUUGCUGGAGUGGUAGGGGAGCAUUCUAAACUGCGUUGAAGCUGUAUGGUGAUGUAUGGUGGAGCGUUUAGAAAAGAAAAUGUAGGCAUAAGUAACGAUAAAAGAAGUGAAAAACUUCUUCGCCGUAAGACUAAGGUUUCCUGAUCAACGCUAAUCGGAUCAGGGUUAGUCGGGUCCUAAGGCAAACCCGAAAGGGGUAGUCGAUGGAAAGCAGGUUAAUAUUCCUGCACCUGCUAUACGUUAAAAGUGACGGAUUGCUGUAGUCUGUGCGUACUGACGGAAAUGUGCGCUGAGAGGAACCUUCGGGGGAAUCGAACAGGUGAAAGUGGUUCCAAGAAAAGCGAGUAUAGCAGCUCGUACCGUAAACCGACACAGGUAGUCGAGAUGAGUAUUCUAAGGCGCUCGGGUGAGCCGUGGAGAAGGAACUAGGCAAAUUGAUGCUGUAACUUCGGGAUAAGGCAUUCCAUAGUAAUAUGGACACAGUAAAAUGGUUCAACCAACUGUUUAACAAAAACAUAGGGCCCUGCAAAAUCGAAAGAUGACGUAUAGAGCCUGAUACCUGCCCGGUGCCGGAAGGUUAAGGAAGGGUGUUCGUCGCAAGACAAAGCACUUGACUGAAGCCCCGGUAAACGGCGGCCGUAACUAUAACGGUCCUAAGGUAGCGAAAUUCCUUGUCGGGUAAGUUCCGACCUGCACGAAUGGUCUAAUGAGUUGAACGCUGUCUCCUCCACGAGCCCGGUGAAAUUGUAGUAUCGGUGAAGAUGCCGGUUACCCGUCACGGGACGGAAAGACCCCAUGAACCUUCACUAUAGCUUUGCAUUGAUUUUGAGCAACCGAUGUGUAGGAUAGUUGGGAGACUGUGAAGUGGCUUCGCCAGGAGUCAUGGAGUCAACGUUGAAAUACCAACCUUCGUUUGCUUAGAACCUAAUCCCUUGCGGGAGACAGUGCAUGGUGGGUAGUUUGACUGGGGUGGUCGCCUCCUAAAAAGUAACGGAGGCUUGCAAAGGUUCCCUCAGUACGGUUGGUAAUCGUACAUAGAGCGUAUUAGUAUAAGGGAGCUUGACUGUGAGGCAUACAGGCCGAGCAGGGACGAAAGUCGGCUAAAGUGAUCCGGUGGUUCUGCAUGGAAGGGCCAUCGCUCAAAGGAUAAAAGGUACUCUGGGGAUAACAGGCUGAUCUCCCCCAAGAGCUCAUAUCGACGGGGAGGUUUGGCACCUCGAUGUCGGUUCGUCACAUCCUGGGGCUGGAGAAGGUCCCAAGGGUUCGGCUGUUCGCCGAUUAAAGUGGCACGUGAACUGGGUUCAGAACGUCGCAAGACAGUUCGGUCCCUAUCUGUGAUGGGCGUUAGUAAAUUGAGUGGACGUGACCUUAGUACGAGAGGACCGGGUCGCAUGUACCGCUGGUGUAUCAGUUGUGUCGCCAGAUGCAGUGCUGAGUAGCUACGUACAGCCAGGAUAAACGCUGAAAGCAUCUAAGCGUGAAACCUUCCAUAAGAUGAGUUUACUUUUAAGGGUCGUGGGAGACUACCACGUUGAUAGGCUAUAGGUGUAAAGGUGGUAACAUCAAAGCCGAGUAGUACUAAUUGCCCGUAAGCUUUAAUUU